rnacentral:rRNA from 1 species
AGUGAACGCUGGCGGUAGGCCUAACACAUGCAAGUCGAACGGCAGCACAGUAAGAGCUUGCUCUUACGGGUGGCGAGUGGCGGACGGGUGAGGAAUACAUCGGAAUCUACUUUUUCGUGGGGGAUAACGUAGGGAAACUUACGCUAAUACCGCAUACGACCUACGGGUGAAAGCAGGGGAUCUUCGGACCUUGCGCGAUUGAAUGAGCCGAUGCCGGAGUAGCUAGUUGGCGGGGUAAAGGCCCACCAAGGCGACGAUGCGUAGCUGAUCUGAGAGGAUGAGCGGCGACAAGGGAACUGAGACACGGUCAAGAGUAAUACGGGAGGCAGCAGGAGGGAAGAGUGAGCAAGGGGCGAAAGCGUGACGGAGAAAGGAGGCGUGAGGGAGGAAGGCCGUCGGAUCGGAAAACUCUGGUAGGAGGGAAGAACAAAUGUGGAAGUAACUAUGCACGUCUUGACGGUACCUAAUAAGAAAGCCACGGCUAACUACGUG